CAGCAGCCACGGUAAUACGGAGGGCGCGAGCGUUACCCGGAUUUACUGGGCGUAAAGGGCGUGUAGGCGGCCUGGGGCGUCCCAUGUGAAAGGCCACCGCUCAACCGUGGAGGAGCGUGGGAUACGCUCAGGCUAGAGGGUGGGAGAGGGUGGUGGAAUUCCCGGAGUAGCGGUGAAAUGCGCAGAUACCGGGAGGAACGCCGAUGGCGAAGGCAGCCACCUGGUCCACUUCUGACGCUGAGGCGCGAAAGCGUGGGGAGCAAACCGGAUUAGAUACCCGCGUAGUCCCUGUCUCUUAUAC
rnacentral:rRNA from 1 species